rnacentral:lncRNA from 1 species
GUCCCCGUCGCUUCAAAGGGGGCUCGAGGAAGAAUUUCUUCAACAACAGGGGUUUAAUAACGGGAGCCGCCGGUAAAGGCAUUCUGCCUGAGAAUUUUGGAGUAGCAAGACGGGGUGGCACCGGUCAGGAGGGCAGAGCUGUCGUCACAAGCUAUGGCGGGAUCCUUGAUGUCGUCGGGGCCGAGGGACCAGAAGCGGUCGGCAUCGACGGUGGGGCAGUAAAACUUGUUGCGGGG